GAACAGGACGUACCGGACUGGGCAGGCGCACUGGAAGCCUGAGGCGUGGGGCUGGCUUUGGAGGCGCCAGACUAGUAACACGCACCUCAUGGCUAGUGCAGGGAGCAGGAACAGGACGUACUGGACUGGGCAGGCGCACUAGAGGCCUGAUGCGUGGGGCUGGCUUAGGAGGCGCCAGACUAGUAACACGCACCUCAUGGCUCGUGCGGGGAGCAGGAACUGGACGUACUGGACUGGGCAGGUGCACUAGAGGCCUGAUGCGUGGGGCUGGCUUUGGAGGAGCCAGACUAGUGACACGCACCUCAGGGCUAGUGCGAGGAGCGGGAACAUGACGUACUGGACUGGGCAGGCGCACUGAGGCCUGAUGCGUGGGGCUGGUGUUGGAGGCGCCAGCCUAGUAACACGCACAUCAGGGCUAGUGCGAGGAGCAGGAACAGGGUAAACUGAACCGAGGAGAUGCACUGGUGGCCAGAUGCGCUGCGCCGGCGCACUUCUCCCUGGCUGCCGGCUAACUCUCGCCUGGCAACGUUGCGGAGCCCUUAUUGACCGCACCGGACUGUGCAUGCGUAUGGGCGACACAGUGCGUAUCUCCGCGUAUCUCCGCAUAAUAAGCAUGGGGAGUUGGCUCAGGUCUCCAUCCUGACUCUGCCCAACUCCCCGUGUGCCCCCCCCCCCAUUUUUUUUUUGGGGGGGGGAUGCCUCUCGGCCUCAUCUAGCUCCCUUAGUUUCCUCUCCCAGAAACAUUGUUCUGCCUCCCACGUCCAUCCUUCUCUUCGGUGCUCCAAUCCCCGCUGCUUGGUCCUUGUUUGGUGCUCCAAUCCCCACUGCUUGGUCCUUGUUUGGUGCUCCAAUCCCCGCUGUUUGGUCUUUGUUUGGUGGGUGGUUCUGUCACGGGCGUCGUAAGGAUUGGACCAAAACGCAGCGGGUAAAGUGCUCAUCUUCUUUCUUUAUUAAAGAAAACACUUAAACAAAAUAAACUGACGACGAAAACAGUCCAGUAAGGUGCACAGACUAUACUGGAAACAACCACCCACAAAACACAAGAGAAAACAAACCCAACUAAAUAUGGCCUCCAAUUAGAGACAACAACAACCAGCUGCCUCUAAUUGGAGGUCAUUGCCAAAAACCAACAUAGAAAUAGAAAACUAGAUAAACACAUAGAAAUAGAUAACAUAGAACAUAAACCAAAAACACCGAAACACACAAAACAAACACCCCCUGCCACGCCCUGACCAAACUACAAUAACAAAUAACCCCUUUUACUGGUCAGGACGUGACAAGAUCAUCGUUAUUGUCACUAAAAGGACAUCAGAUAGACAGACUUCACCAUAGUAAACAGUAAUACAGCAUAAUUGCUACAUGCAGUAAGUCUACUGGUUAAGCAAUAUAAUGGAUAUUUUCAGAACAGAAUUAAUCCCAAACAGGACUAACCAAUGCAAUGGCAGAUUGUGUCAAAUACACAGCUGUCCCGCACGCCACUACCCCCCUUCAUCUCCUUCCAAGGGCUCCCCCUCCAGCACCUUCCAAUGGCUCCUCCUCUAGUGCCCUUCUAAUUGCUCCCCCUCCAGCUCCUUCCAAUGGCUCCCCCUCCAGCUCCUUCCAAGGGCUCCCCCUCCAGCUCCUUCCAAGGGCUCCCCCUCCAGCACCUUCCAAUGGCUCCCCCUCCAGCUCCUUCCAAGGGAUCCCCCUCCAGCUCCUUCCAAGGGCUCCCCCUCCAGCUCCUUCCAAUGGAUCCCCCUCCAGCUCCUCCCAAUGGCUCCCCCUCCAGCUCCUUCCAAUGGCUCCCCCUCCAGCUCCUUCCAAUGGCUCCCCCUCCAGUUCCUUCCAAUGGAUCCCCCUCCAGCUCCUUCCAAUGGAUCCCCCUCCAGCUCCUUCCAAUGGAUCCCCCUCCAGCUCCUCCCAAUGGAUCCCCCUCCAGCUCCUUCCAAUGGAUCCCCCUCCAGCUCCUCCCAAUGGAUCCCCCUCCAGCUCCUUCCAAUGGAUCCCCCUCCAGCUCCUUCCAAUGGCUCCCCCUCCAGCUCCUUCCAAUGGAUCCCCCUCCAGCUCCUCCCAAUGGAUCCCCCUCCAGCUCCUUCCAAUGGAUCCCCCUCCAGCUCCUCCCAAUGGAUCCCCCUCCAGCUCCUUCCAAUGGAUGCCCCUCCAGCUCCUUCUAAUUGCUCCCCCUCCAGCUCCUUCCAAUGGCUCCCCCUCCAGCUCCUCCCAAUGGAUCCCCCUCCAGCUCCUUCCAAUGGAUGCCCCUCCAGCUCCUUCUAAUUGCUCCCCCUCCAGCUCCUUCCAAUGGAUCCCCCUCCAGCUCCUUCCAAUGGAUGCCCCUCCAGCUCCUUCUAAUUGCUCCCCCUCCAGCUCCUUCCAAUGGCUCCCCCUCCAGCUCCUUCCAAUGGCCUGCAGGUAAAGUUCAGAGCCUGAGCCUAAGAUAACGAUCGUCCUCACAAUAUAGGCCAUAUUAGCAUCAAAUUAACCUUUGGGACUGGAGGAGGAGAGAGAGGAGGAGAGGGGCAUGGACUAGAGGAGAAAGGGUCAAACUGACUCUCACCUCUCUCUUCUCCUCCUUCUUCCCUCCUUUCCCUCUUCUUUCACUCAUUUCUAUUGAACUGUCUUUAAGUGGAUGCCCUCCCUGGCCCCAGCUGUGUUUUCUCUCCCUCCCCUCCCUCCAAUUGUCCACGUUUAUUCCUCUCCUUGGCACAGGAAGCACUAACACAGCACUAAUGCUGACCCAGCUGAGAAUGCACUUUCUCUUUCUCUCUCUCUCUCUGCCUGUCUCUCUCUCUCCCCCUCCAUCUGCUUCCCUCUCUCUCCUACCCUCUCUCUGUCAUUCUCCCUUCACCCGUUUUUCCUUGACGUUCUUUGAGCUGCCUGAAGAUCGCUCUCCAUCCCUCCUCCCCUCGUCUUCCCCUCCUCCCCCACGUUUGCCUCUCACUAUCAGAGCACAGCACAUGACCCCAUCAACCCCCCAUGCACCCUGGAGAUAAAAGUCACAGUCCCUGUCCUCCCUGCCUCUGACCCCACCCCCAGCAGAGAACCAUGUCAGUGUAUCUAGAAUGCUCUGAUUAACUGCCCUCCGUGGAAUAAAUUAAUACACAUCUCUCUCUGUCAGUAAAUAUAGGCCUUAUCGACCUCAGCAAAACCCUCAAGCAGAGCAAUAUUUGCUCAUAGGAUACAGACCCUUGUCACUAUCCCCCAUCCCCCCACCACUGCACACACACACUGACACACUCAUCUGCUAGUACUGUCCCUACACACACACACACACACACACACACACACACACACACACACACACACACACACACACACACACACACACACACACACACACACACACACACACACACACACACACACACACACACACACACACACACACACAAACACUCUCCAUCUCCUAAUAUUCCUCAUGACUGACUCUGGGACCGCUGGCUGAAGGCCUGUUGAUGCCUGAAUAGGUUGUUUGGGCUGCUGCUACAGUACAUCGUAGUCUGUUCCAGUCAGUCAGUCAGUGGACUGCUAGGCAACAUGUCUAUCCAGGCCCUGGAGCUUUACAAUAAGUCCAAUCAUUAGCAGUAGAGGGUUUUAGAAUGACUCCACUCAUCAUGACCCACUCAGUUCUGCCUCUCCAGAAACAGUUUGUAGUCUAGCUGUGUUGAUGCUGUCAGUAACCUGCCCCUAGUCUAGCUGUGUUGGUGCUGUCAGUAACCUGCCCCCUAGUCUAGCUGUGUUGAUGCUGCCAGUAACCUGCCCCUUAGUCUAGCUGUGUUGAUGCUGUCAGUAACCUGCCCCCUAGUCUAGCUGUGUUGAUGCUGCCAGUAACCUGCCCCCUAGUCUAGCUGUGUUGAUGCUGCCAGUAACCUGCCCCCUAGUCUAGCUGUGUUGAUGCUGCCAGUAGCCUGCCCCUUAGUCUAGCUGUGUUGAUGCUGUCAGUAACCUGCCCCCUAGUCUAGCUGUGUUGAUGCUGUCAGUAACCUGCCCCCUAGUCUAGCUGUGUUGAUGCUGUCAGUAACCUGCCCCCUAGUCAAGCUGUGUUGAUGCUGCCGAUAGCCUGCCCCCUAGUCUAGCUGUGUUGAUGCUGUCAGUAACCUGCCCCCUAGUCUAGCUGUAAUGAUGCUUCCAGUAACCUGCACUCUAGUCUAGCUGUGUUGAUGCUGUCAGUAACCUGCCCCUUAGUCUAGCUGUGUUGAUGCUGUCAGUAACCUGCCCUCUAAUCUAGCUGUGUUGAUGCUGCCAGUAACCUGCCCCCUAGUCUAGCUGUGUUGAUGCUGCCAGAUCCUGCCCCCUAAUCUAGCUGUGUUGAUGCUGCCAGUAACCUGCCCCCUAGUCUAGCUGUGUUGAUGCUGCCAGUAACCUGCCCCUUAGUCUAGCUGUGUUGAUGCGUCCAGUAGCCUGCCCCCUAAUCUAGCUGUGUUGAUGCUGCCAGUAACCUGCCCCUUAGUCUAGCUGUGUUGAUGCUGCCAGUAACCUGCCACCUAGUCUAGCUGUAUUGAUGCGGCCAGUAGCCUGCCCCCUAAUCUAGCUGUGUUGAUGCUGCCAGUAGCCUGCCCCAUGUUGGGUACUAGCUAACACAUUCAUUUAAAAAGCUAAGCACAUCCCAGACCAACUCCAGCACUACUGGCUGAUUCCAGUAUGGCAGGCUGCUUAAAGGAAAGGGCCCCAAAAUCAUCUUUCCCGUUUCAGAGGACGGCUCCCAGCGGUAGGGGACAUGCCAGACUUCACUGCUGCUGCUAGGAUAACCCUCUCUCCUCUACCCCCCCCUCUCUCUCUCCCUCUCUCUCACCUCUACCCCCUCUUUCUCCUCUCUCUCCCUCUCUCCUCCCUUCCCUCCCUCCCUCCUCUCAUCUACCCUCCUCUCAUCUCCUCAUACCUUCCUCUCCCCCGUGUCCCCCAUACCCCAGCUCAGACUGCCUCCCCACUUCCGCUAAACCACGCUGCUACUCCUCCUAAUGGGAGACAAGGCUGUUAGAGCAACACGCCAUGCUUUACCUCUGCCAGCACGGACUGAACUCUCUCUCUCUCUCUCUAUCUCUCUCUCUCUCUCUCAGCACUGCCUAUCAAAGCAAUAUGCAAAUCCUCUUGCUUUCAAUCCUUCAUACCCUCCCACUCCAC
rnacentral:lncRNA from 1 species